UACGUAGGGGGCUAGCGUUGUCCGGAAUCAUUGGGCGUAAAGAGCGUGUAGGCGGCUUGGUAAGUCCGCUGUGAAAGUCCAGGGCUCAACCCUGGAAUGCCAGUGGGUACUGUCAAGCUAGAGUCCGGAAGAGGCGAGUGGAAUUCCUGGUGUAGCGGUGAAAUGCGCAGAUAUCAGGAGGAACACCAAUGGCGAAGGCAGCUCGCUGGGACGGUACUGACGCUGAGACGCGAAAGCGUGGGGAGCAAACAGG
rnacentral:rRNA from 1 species